AUCACCAAGAUCAACAUGUACAAGGAUGGUCGGCAUGUACAAGAUAUGCUUAAGGUCAAACAUCACUAUGAUAUUGCUGAGAUGGUCCAAUCAGUGACAAUGCUGGUGGUAUUGUUGAGAUGGCUGGAAUGAGCCACAAAAUCUGAGAGAACUGAUGCUC